rnacentral:rRNA from 1 species
UACGGAGGGUGCAAGCGUUAUCCGGAUUCACUGGGUUUAAAGGGUGCGUAGGAGGGCAGGUAAGUCAGUGGUGAAAUCUCCAAGCUUAACUUGGAAACUGCCGUUGAUACUAUCUGUCUUGAAUAUUUGUGGAGGUGAGCGGAAUAUGUCAUGUAGCGGUGAAAUGACUUAGAUAUGACAUAGAACACCAAAUUGCGAAGGCAGCUCGCUACACAUAUAUUGACUCUGAGGCACGAAAGCGUGGGGAUCAAACAGG